rnacentral:rRNA from 1 species
ACCCUUUAAUGUUUGAUGUUCUAACGUGGACCCGUAAUCCGGGUUGCGGACAGUGUCUGGUGGGUAGUUUGACUGGGGCGGUCUCCUCCUAAAGAGUAACGGAGGAGCACGAAGGUUGGCUAAUCCUGGUCGGACAUCAGGAGGUUAGUGCAAUGGCAUAAGCCAGCUUGACUGCGAGCGUGACGGCGCGAGCAGGUGCGAAAGCAGGUCAUAGUGAUCCGGUGGUUCUGAAUGGAAGGGCCAUCGCUCAACGGAUAAAAGGUACUCCGGGGAUAACAGGCUGAUACCGCCCAAGAGUUCAUAUCGACGGCGGUGUUUGGCACCUCGAUGUCGGCUCAUCACAUCCUGGGGCUGAAGUAGGUCCCAAGGGUAUGGCUGUUCGCCAUUUAAAGUGGUACGCGAGCUGGGUUUAGAACGUCGUGAGACAGUUCGGUCCCUAUCUGCCGUGGGCGCUGGAGAACUGAGGGGGGCUGCUCCUAGUACGAGAGGACCGGAGUGGACGCAUCACUGGUGUUCGGGUUGUCAUGCCAAUGGCACUGCCCGGUAGCUAAAUGCGGAAGAGAUAAGUGCUGAAAGCAUCUAAGCACGAAACUUGCCCCGAGAUGAGUUCUCCCUGAGACUUUAGGUCUCCUGAAGGAACGUUGAAGACGACGACGUUGAUAGGCCGGGUGUGUAAGCGCAG